AAAAUAGUACACUGACCUGAAUGAAAUGGAUUAUGAAACAACAAAAAUAAAUUACAAUACAAAGCAUGCGUAACACUAUGAUAUGGUAUAAUGAUUGAGCACAUGGAACAUGCAAUGUUAUGGUAAAAUUAAACAUUUUGGCUGUGAAUGAGGUUAACAUAAGUUUGUAUCUUCCCACAUAUUUAGAUUCUUAUGUAACCCUGUUACUCAACAUUUAUUUUGUUUUUUUUUCUCUCAAUUUAAUUGUGAAUUGAAUAGACCAGUGCAUCUGGAAACUGGCAUUAAAGGCUACAGUGCAUUAUGAAGCAAGAAGCUAAAUCUAAAGGGAAGAAGGUGUGCAGGAAAGGUCUACUAUAAGAAUAUUUCAGGUACGCCUUCAGAAUAAGAGCAGCAUAAGAAGCCUUGGGAAUCGAGUACACAGACUUGCAUUUUGUGUCAUAUUCUACAGCAUCACAGAAGAUGAAAGGGACACAGAAAAUGUACCAGAACAUGUUAACACAGGAAACAUGAACAUACCUGAUCCUUUGAAGGUGCAAGUAGUUCUUCAAUCAUCAUACUGUCCCGGGCAAAAGAACUCCUGUUCAGUGUGUAGGACCUAUCCGAACUGAAGGAGC